ACUAAUUUGGCAGAUAAAGUGCUUUAAAUUUAGAAUUUAAUUAUGUUUUUUAACAUUUAGUA
rnacentral:tRNA from 1 species